AUACGGAGGGUGCGAGCGUUAUCCGGAAUUACUGGGUUUAAAGGGUGCGUAGGCGGCCUGGUAAGUCAGGGGUGAAAGUCCAGGGCUUAACCGUGGGAUUGCCUUUGAUACUGCUGGGCUUGAAUGAGGUUGAGGUGGGCGGAAUGUGGCAUGUAACGGUGAAAUGUGUAGAUAUGCCAUAGAACACCGAUUGCGAAGGCAGCUCACUGGACCUUUCUUGACGCUGAGGCACGAAAGCGUGGGGAGCGAACAGGAUUAGAUACCCUAGUAGUCC
rnacentral:rRNA from 1 species